rnacentral:rRNA from 1 species
CCUACGGGAGGCAGCAGUAGGGAAUCUUCCACAAUGGGCGAAAGCCUGAUGGAGCAACGCCGCGUGGGUGAAGAAGGUCUUCGGAUCGUAAAACCCUGUUGUUAGAGAAGAAAGUUCGUGAGAGUAACUGUUCACGUUUCGACGGUAUCUAACCAGAAAGCCACGGCUAACUACGUGCCAGCAGCCGCGGUAAUACGUAGGUGGCAAGCGUUAUCCGGAUUUAUUGGGCGUAAAGGGAACGCAGGCGGUCUUUUAAGUCUGAUGUGAAAGCCUUCGGCUUAACCGGAGUAGUGCAUUGGAAACUGGGAGACUGGAGUGCAGAAGAGGAGAGUGGAACUCCAUGUGUAGCGGUGAAAUGCGUAGAUAUAUGGAAGAACACCAGUGGCGAAAGCGGCUCUCUGGUCUGUAACUGACGCUGAGGUUCGAAAGCGUGGGUAGCAAACAGGAUUAGAUACCCCGGUAGUC